GGGCGGAAGGCAUCACUUUGUCCGGACUCUAAUUCAAAUUGUAUUCAUCCGAUCUUCACCAAACUUGGUCAGCAGUUGCAUCUAGUUGAUAUCUAGGCCAAGUUCGAAUAUGGGUCAUGCCGGGUCAAAAACUAGGUCAUAGGGUCAAUAAGUGCAUUUUCAAAGGGGCCACUUUGUCCGGACUCUAUUUCAAAUUGUAUUCAUCCGAUCUUCACCAAACUUGGUCAGCAGUUGCAUCUAGUUGAUAUAUAGGCCAAGUUCGAAUAUGGGUCAUGCCGGGUCAAAAACUAGGUCAUAGGGUCAAUUAGUGCAUUU